AAGUAGCAAAGAUCAAGGGUCGGGUAGUAUCCGAAUCCUUUGAUCCCAACGUGACACGCAGCGAACGUGGCUCUUAUAGGACGUGUUCAGACGAAGCUCCAAAAUGGCUUAACAACUGCUUCAUCAGCGGCGGAGGAUGACUUUCUGCAGAAAGGCGACAUUACGGUUUCUAUAUAGCUUCAGAAAGGCCUCAGAACGACUUCAUCAGCGAAGGAAGAAAAAGGCUUCACCAAGAUGGCGUGUUUUUAUGAAGAUUUCGGCGGACUUGCUUCCUAGACGCCAGAUAGAAAACAAGACCGAUCUUCGACGAAUCCGUGGCACGCUCCUGAGGUGCCUUGGGGUGACCUUGACUAAUAAAUUAGAUGCUGGUGAGGAUAGCAUUGGCUAUCGGCUGUAACAGAUGUCAAUUAUGCUUCAUCUAAGUCCAUCAUGCUUAGGCCUGUGUGAAAGAGAUGUCGAUAGCUCGAUGGCAUUCUUGAGGAAUGUGAUCGCGGCAUCGGCUACGACCACCGUGUGUAAAUAGUACAGGGCUCGAACUUCUAGUGCUGAUCGUGGCUCUGCUGAGACUGCCUUAUGUCAGUUGGCGGUAAUGAUACCACUCCCAUGAUGACCCCUUGCCCAUACUGUCUGUCACAGCAUAUGUUGUGUGGCCAGACUCAAACUUCCUCUCCUACUCAGUGUGGGGUCGAUGGACUGGGACUCACAACAGCUCAUGACAACUGACUGCACCUGCUGCCUGGUGACUGCAGAGUUGAUGUGUUUCACGAAAUAAGUGUGUGCGCUGAACGUCAGGGUGCCACAUAGAGUGGUGCAUUCUUUUAACUAUGUCAUUGAUGUUAGGUACCAGGGUCACUUGCACCUGCAGCCCACAUUCAUCAUCUAGAGACAUCACUAGGCUAAUAUGCCAUCGAAUGAGCAUCUUGUUGGCUUCUCUUGUCCUCAAUCUGCUCUUCCCUGAGAGACUGUCUGAGAUCCAUUAGUAAAUUGUAGCAGAAUCAGUCAGCAGCUCCACUUUCUUCUUCCAGGCCAGAGUGAGAUUAAGCCCCUUCAUGUUCCCAUCCAGUUCGGCCAUGUUGGUGUACACAGAAUCAUCCUUUCAGAGCCUGCUAGCAUCUUCUAUGGUGCAGCCAUCAGCUUCAAUCACAAUGCCAUGGGUCAGGGAGCUAGUGUCCACCCACACACUGGCUUUACCUUCUGUCACAUCCCAUCUUCCUUGAACUGAGUCAUUUUUCCAAACUUCACAUGCAGUCUCCUCAAGAAAUGCUCUUAGAUAGUCAUCACUAACCACCUCAUUCCAGCUUGAUGUGAGAUUAUUCAUUUUUCAUUUGAUGAACGCAACUGCGACUCUCAACCCCCUGCAGACUGGGAAGUGACAGAGCAGCCUGCUGCAGUAAGAAAAGACUGAUUGGCACAUCAGUUCUCUCGGCACUCCACUCACCUUGUUAGCGCACCUCCAGUGCAGACCACGUCCUUCACCCCAAACUCUCGGGACCAACACUCACACACCAUUACCAACACGCUCAGGUGACUUGCUCAUUAACCUGUAAUGAGCAAAGUGUUGUUGUACUUGUUCAGCCAUAACUACGUUUGCUAGAAUGUCAUCUAUAUAAGAUGAGGUUCCUUCCCUCACAACAGGGUCCUGUGACAAUACACAUUCAGUACAGCCUUCAUUAUAAGUGGCACUAUGUUUAGACUGAAGCCUAAGUGAGUCAGACAAUACCUGCGCCCCUUGAACACAAUAGUCUGGUAUGGUCAUAGAGAGCAGUGUAUUCAAAUUUGUGGAUACACUUUUUCCAAGUCAGUCACUGACACAUUAACACCUUGUUUAUGCAACUUUCUUAGAUAUGUCUGCACACAUGUCAGUGUUGGUGGUGAAAAAAGGUAUUUAGUUCUCUGAAAUUACUUUGUUAUGCUGAAUCACUGCCAUCAAAGGGAUCAGCCCUUUCACUGGCCCAUGUUCUUCCUUUCCAUAGGGCACUAACCACCCGUCAAUGAUUCACUUUUCCAGUUUGUUUUCAUACACUACUUUGGCUUCAUGGGGCACCAAAUACUCCUCUACUUUGUUCCAAAGAACACCAGGCUCACCAUCCUGCAACCACUUCCACUUGGCUGUCCAUGAGAUUGUUGCAGCAUUGUGGGUUGCAGUGAAAUCCUGUCCAUCAACAACAAUCACUACGGCACCAGCUGCACAAAUGACUGAACCACACACAUCAUUCCUCGCUCACAGUGGCCCUGGCCAAUGCAACUGUUCAUUCUAGAAAUGAAUGGGAAGCCAAGAGGUGUAGUGUCCACCACAAGCAUGUCCACAUCAACAGCUUUUCUGUUGCUCAAGUGAAGACGCAUAAUGCCUGUGCCCUUGCAGAAGUGCUCCUUACCACUCACUGUAAGGAUGCUAAUGGCCUCAAGCUUCCAUGAACUGCAGCAGGACAUGUGGGCAAUGCAUCAUGAACAACCUGUAUCCACCAUAGCAGUUGUCAAAACGCCGUUCACCCACACUUUGGCAUUUGGUAGUGCCUCCUUUACUGGUUGGCAAGAGAAGAAGUUGACACUGACACUUCCCCUCCUUCCUCAUUUCCCGAGCUGGUAGGCAUGAUGUGGCCAUGGUGCAUGCCCGUCCAAUCCCCUGCCCGUCCCUGUUGUCUGGUGCAGAAUCACAACAAUGCAGCAAGCAGUUUUGUGCAAAGUAAUUUGGGCCAUUACAUUUGUAAGCAGCAUUGACUCAUAGACAUCCUCUGGUGCCACUUGACUCCCAACUUGCUUGCUCCCAUGUACACAUUGACAGGGUCAUGGGGGCUGUCAUCCUUGAUAAUAGCCCUUGUCUAUACCAAGAUCUAAUUCAGGUGAAGUGAUUCCAUCCAUGACUCCACCUGGAGUAAAUGACAGAUGUUCUCUAGAAGGCCAGCUACAAACACACAAGUGAGUCCUUGGUCAAUCAUUCCACCAAACAACAAUGUAAGUCACUGUAGCUCAGCCAGGAACACAUCGGGAUAUUCACCACUGUGCAGCUUUCUGGAAACAAACUGCUCAUAGGCUAUGAAUGGAUCAGCUGCAAAUGCUGCUACAAGUGCUUCCUUCACCUUGUUGAGCUUCUUUCUGUCCGCUUCUGGCAGCUGCAGGUAGACUGUGAAAGCGUCCCUUGUAAGACGUAGGAGAGCACUUGCCACAUCCCUGGCUCAUCUUACCUUGCAGACAAGUUCAAAUUUCUCCAGCCACUUGACAACAGAUUGCUUGUCUGAGCUGUCAUACUCGGGGACCAAUUGUCAGUUGAAGUAAUUCUGCUCACUUGUCUCCAGCAUGGUGCCUAGAUAGCUUGAGGUGGUAGAAAAAAUAAUCUUCACAGCUGCGAUGUUUACUAGAUGAGCUUAUACAAGUGAACUGGAGGACAGGACUGCUGGCAUGCUCACAGUGAACUCAUUCGCCCACACUUCGUCCAACCCAUGUCAGUUCCUACUCUAUAUCAUGAAGCAGUGUUAAAUUGAACGAAGUGAAUCAACAGUCAAAGACGAUGAACAACAUAUUAGUAAUGGGUUUUACAUUGUUCAUUUACACUUGUCCUAUCCACUCCUAUGCUGAUUAUACCACCCUGCACUUUUCCACAUAUUUUUGUAGACGUCUAACCCUUCAGGAAGUAAACAGCUCACACAGGUAAGCCACAGAAUGCCUGAUUUCUAAUCUCUUUAAAAUUUCUGAUUGGGGCAGAGCAAACUUAGUAAUGCUCAAUGCCUCAAAAACUCAGUUCCUCCAUCUAUCAACUCGACACAGCCUUCCAGAUAACUAUCUGCUUUUCUUCAUUGACACUCAACUCUCUCCCUUCUACACUGAUCAUCCUUGGUCUGUCCUUUAUUUAAUAAUCUCAACUGGAAAUUUCACAUCUCAUCUCUUGCUAAAGCAGCUUCUAUGAGGUCAGGUGUUCUGGGUCAUCUCUGCCAGUUUUUCUCACCUCCCCCGCCCCCAGAUGCUAACUCUGUACAUGGGCCUUAUCCAUCCAUAUAUGGAGUAUGCUUCACAUGAAAGGGGGGUUCCACUCAUCUUGUACUUUUAGACAGGGUGUAGUCAAAAGCUUUUCAUCUAAUCAGCUCCUCUCCUCUAAUUGACUGUCUUCAGCAUCUUUCUCAUCACCACAGUGUUACAUCUCUUGCUAUCUUCUACUGCUAUUUUCAUUCUAACUGCUCCUCUAAUUUUACUGCAUGCCUCUCCUCCUCCUGUGGGCCCACUUCACAAGACUUUCUUCUUUCUCUCAUCUCUAUUCUGUCCACCUCUCUAAUGCAAGAGUUCACCAGUAUUCUCAGUCAUUCAUCCCUUUCUCUGUUAAACUCUGGAACUCCCUGCCUGCUUCUAUAUUUCCUCCUUCCUAUGACUUGAACUCUUUCAUUAGUGAGGUUUCAAGACACUUAUCCAUCAUUAUUUGAUUUUUCAUCUGGAAUUCUCUAUGGGAUCUGGCAUUAAGUAGGCCUUUUUUAUACUAUUUUUUUGUUGCCCUUGGCCAGUGGCCUGCUUGUAUAAAAAAAGGAGUGUGGACAAUGGAUGAAGACAAUGUCCACACAGUUAGUAGUCAAGAGAUAAUGACAUUACAACAAAUGUCAAGAAGAAAGAGCCCUUUAGGCAGCAGAUCAUCAACUUCCAGACAGUAGAGACAGUAGUGGUCCACAGAGCUGCCCUCAGGUAUGCCACACAGAUGACAUGAUUAGAAGUGUGGGACAUCCUCUUGUUCAGCAACAUGCCAUAUGGAACUGUAGCUGAGACAGAGCCUGGCAAACACCACAUUAUGCCUCUAGACCAUGACAUCAUAGUGACGAUACUUUUAGUGUUGGUAACAGAAGGCACUGUAAUGCUGGAUGGUGACACUCUCAUUCCUCUGAUGGUCUCUAGAAUGGUUGACAGAGUGGAUGGCAGCAGUGCAGUUCCAGGACAAGAUGCAGGAGAACAAGGACAC